UAAUUGAAUAAUUUAACAAUUUCCCCUUCAUAUUUCAUAUUUGAUAUUGAUUAGCUCACCAAUCCAUAUGUAAUGGAACUCUAUUCGCUUUUCUGAUUGAUAUAUAAAAUAAUAGAAUUAGGAAAUCCUCUAUUUACUAUUCACUGAAUAAUAACCUUUUUGUUGACAAAAGAAUAAAGAUCAUUUCUAUUCCAAGGUGGGGAGUUUUAUUUUCCCCAUCGACCUA
rnacentral:sRNA from 1 species